ACCCAUUAAACUUACAAUGCAACGCAAGAAGCCCAAAAGCCCGUAAAGUGAACUCCAUCCGUGACAGCCUGCCAGGCAAGUUCGUGGCUUCGUGACCCUUCUAGGUAUUCCUAUUUUCCUGUAGACAUGUACGCGUACACAGGCAGCCGCCAGCACCACGACCUUUCGCCGUUUGCAUCGUGGACUCUCUCCCAAUCUCCUCAGCCGGCGACGAGCCCCACCGACAAGGGUAGGUCUGGGCGGCAACGGCGAUGAGCCCCGCCAACAAGGGUGGGUCUGGGCGGCAACCUUGCCGCCUAAUAUAAACCAAAAAUUCAAGGAAGAUGAGAAGCUACAACCAGGGCUGCAAAGUAUUUUUGGUAUUACUCUAUUUUUAAUAUGUAAGGAACUCAAUUUAUAAUUUCAUCCAACAGGUAUGCCUUGCACUUCAGCUUUCAAUGUAACCCAAUUUGUGAUAAGUAAUAGCAUGUGUAUGUUAUUUUUA